UGAAAAUAUGCUAUGGAAAAAAAAAAGGAAACUCUGUAAAAUAGAUUAUUCUGCCUCUUGCCUGUCAGGAUAUAUUGAUCCUGGUGGAAACUCUGGUCCUUCUUGUCAUACUGAAGUUGAUGAACAGGUAUUUUUCAGAGCAGAAAUAUCUCUGCUCCCAUUGCCACCCAGGUGUGCACCAGAAGAACCUCAGAGUAGGAACUGCAGAACUUGAGGGCAGAUGAUUUCCAUUGUUUUUUUUUUUUUUUUUUUUUUUUUUUCAGCAUGGUCACAGGACCUACAUUCAGCCAUUACUGAUGCACCUCCACCCUACAAGACCUGCAAUGUGUCUAUCCUCAUUUAAAAAAAAAAAAAGUCAGUGAAGCAGAUAUUAUUUCUAGGAAAGAGGAACUGAUCGAGGCCAAGGUAAGGGCUACGUCCACAUAUGCAGUGAGGCAGACAAUUCAUGCUGAUUUAUUGUCGCAGAGUUACAAGGCUGAUUACCUUUCAAAGAAAAGGGACUAAGCAGUCUGGUCAUGGCCAUGGUGGACCUGGAAAAACCUGGUGGACCAGGAAAAACCACCAGGCAAAAUAGUCUGACAGCCUACUCAGACAGUUUCAGCCUCCAUGGGGAGACGAGCUUCUAGCCCAUCAGGUCAUCUCUUUUAAUGCUUACUUGGUCUAAAGAGUAGCAAUUUUAUCCAUGUAAAAGCUAAUGGCAUGUCAUUCUUGUUAGAUCGGUUUAUUUUGAAUCUAGGAGAAAAUUAAGAUGUGCGAGAAUCAGAUUUUAGAUGUUGAAAGCAUAAGGAAAGCACUAAGUGGCACUGCUGUUCAAAACAGAACAGGCAAACGUAGUCAAAAGAUAACAAACCCAUUAUAUUUCAAGUUACAGCUCUAGAAGAAAAUUUGGCUUACUCUACAUUGGACACAGAUUGGAGUUUCAGCUACUUGCAGCUAGAAACCAUAAAACCAUCAUGAACAGACUUGAGCUACUUACAGCUUUCUAUUGCUACAUGGGGUGCGCAGCUGGGGUGAUGAAAGAAACAUGCAAAUUGGGAUAUGGGUCGAAUUUAUUUCAAGAAGAGAAGGAAUAGAAAGGGAAUCAGGAGGCGGAUGUAUGGAUCCUUUCCCAUAAAUAAUAAAACACUCAGAGUUCACCAGUGGGCACCAGCGCUGCCCCGUAGCCACAACAUGCAGGCGGGUCUUACUGAUUUGAUCACAGGAUAUGCAUGUAGGGUUCAAAGAGAGUAAUUACUCUCUUAACCAGAAGGUUGCAGUCCUUUGAACUACAGCUUCAAGAUGCUUUUUGGUGAGCAUUACGGACUAUAAAACAAGUAUGGACAUGCACUUUCAUAUGGGUUAUAAAAGGGAGGCUGCAAAAGGGCAAAUGAUAGAAAAUCCUCCACUCUCUUCCCGUUCCUCAUCUCACAGCCUGUUUGCUAGUAGUAACAACGUGUGACAUGUCACACACGGCUCUGCUGAGCUGAGCUCCAGACGUCUGACACUAAACCACUGAUAAAGUCAUAACAUGUGGAGAAAAAAAAAGCUGUUCAGGGCCAUAACCACGCUUUGGUAGCCAGCAACGUGUGACUUAAUCCAGCUGUCUCCAUUAAAUGUCUCCCACCACUGUUAUCACAACCAGAAGCAAAAAGGGCGUUAGCAAGGGGGAGAGAUUUAUGCACAGUGCUCUUUAAUUGAAUUGGGUUCGUGUCUGCCUUACACUUUCCAGCUGAGCAACAAUGGGAUGAGGAGAGAGUGCCUGUGCACCAGGGCACACAUGAGGACUGUCAGGCAGCUGUGAGGCUUCACCUCCUUUUUCUCCCUGCCUCAGCUGAGGACAAGAUGAUCGAGGGGACAGCUCCUGAAAUUCCUCCUCUUCUUUUCAGACUCUGUGGAAGUGCACAGCAGAAGGAAAACACCAGGAGAGGUUGUCACUUUUGGCUCUGCAUUUACAAAAUAAGAAGCAGACACAUAGGGGCAAGGAAAAAAAAAAAUAAAAUGAGUGGAUGUUGUUUCAUUCUCAUUCCUCUUUUAUUCAUUAAUGUCUGCAAAGACCCCUACUUCCUCACCCCCCAAAUAAAACCUUCCUUGAAACAGCAGACUGAACACAUCACCUCGGAUGUUUUUACAACCUGACAAAACGUAUUAAGCACUAGCAUCCAGUUCAUUUUUCUCAAGAUUCAGUGCUCAUUGUGUCUAUUGGAAUUUCUUUAGAGGUCUAAAAUAAAAUAAAAAAAAAAAAAAAAAAAAAA